ensembl:lncRNA
CAAAUGUUUGUGAUCUUGAAGCAUUUUUGUAAGUAUUGCUAAAGGAAAAGGGAUAAAUUGUGUCUUAACUAUUUGGAUAAAUGUAGCAUAAUAGCAGGCAUCUAUAACAUACAUAUAAUAUUUUAUAUUAAUACAAAAGCAAUGUUUAAGUAAUGUUGGAGUUAAAGUUAUAAAUACACUAUGUCUGAAAUAAAAGGGGUGUGACUUUGUGGGUUGGGGUGUAUUUGAGGUGUGUGAGAGUAUUGUAAAUGGGCUUUCAGGGAUAAGUUUGUCAAAGUUAAUUGGUGGUGGUGUUGUCCAUUGCAUUUGGUUGCAGUUGAAGUGUGCAUCACAAUCGUGUACAAGGUAAAUAUGUUGUGUAAUUUUUGAAUGAGUGUAAAGGAUUUGUUUAUUUGCUGAUUUUGUCGUGAGAUACUUAUGAAUGCAUUAUAUGUGUUAUGUUGUUGCAGGAAAAUGGCUUUUAGAAGUCCGUCCAAAAUUCCACGUGUGGAAGGAGAAGAGUUUGUGUUAUUGAGAGACCAGUUUUGCUUAUUAGCUUAUUCAGUGUUGGAUGAGGGUGUUACGAGACAAGGAGUUCAUCGGGAGCUGACAGAGCUCGGAAUAAAAGUAAUGAGGAAAUUUGCUGGGUUGGAUGCUCAGAAAAAAUUUCUACGGAAAGAGUUGGCUGAGGUACGCAGGAAUUUGGAGAAGUUGAAAGGAGACCUAGAAGUCACAAAGGCUGCACUGGAUUUUGUAAAAGAUGAUUAUUUUGACCUUGAGGGAGAGGAUGGUGCUCAGACUGAGA